ACGAAGGGGGCUAGCGUUGUUCGGAAUUACUGGGCGUAAAGCGUGCGCAGGCGGCUGCUCAAGUCAGGGGUGAAAGCCCAGAGCUCAACUCUGGAAUUGCCUUUGAUACUGGCGGGCUUGAGUUCCGGAGAGGAUGGUGGAAUUCCCAGUGUAGAGGUGAAAUUCGUAGAUAUUGGGAAGAACACCGGUGGCGAAGGCGGCCAUCUGGACGGACACUGACGCUGAGGCGCGAAAGCGUGGGGAGCAAACAGGA
rnacentral:rRNA from 1 species